GGGGCUGAUUCUGGAUUCGACGGGAUUUGCGAAACCCAAGGUGCAUGCCGAGGGGCGGUUGGCCUCGUAAAAAGCCGCAAAAAAUAGUCGCAAACGACGAAAACUACGCUUUAGCAGCUUAAUAACCUGCUUAGAGCCCUCUCUCCCUAGCCUCCGCUCUUAGGACGGGGAUCAAGAGAGGUCAAACCCAAAAGAGAUCGCGUGGAAGCCCUGCCUGGGGUUGAAGCGUUAAAACUUAAUCAGGCUAGUUUGUUAGUGGCGUGUCCGUCCGCAGCUGGCAAGCGAAUGUAAAGGCUGACUAAGCAUGUAGUACCGAGGAUGUAGGAAUUUCGGACGCGGGUUCAACUCCCGCCAGCUCCACCA
rnacentral:tmRNA from 1 species